AUGGUGGAAUCAUGGCAGAAGAGAGGUCCAUGGGCGAAAAGGGGGAACUUUUUGUCGGUUUACCUGCCACCCUUUCGAGCGCGAGUCCAUCCAGGGCGGCAUUCCCGACGCCGCCGCCGCGGACGAGGAGGAGGAGGUGUAGAAGUCGUCGCCGCCGCCGAAGCCGUCCUGCUGCUGCCGCUGCUGGGCGUAGAGCGCGGCGGCCGCGGCCAGGGCCUCCGCGUCGGUGUCGCCGUAGCCCUCGGCCGGAUCCGACUGAUGCUGCCGCCGCUGCUCCCGCGCACCGAGUUCGUCAUGCCCGGCGCCGUUGCCCGUGGCGGCGAGGAGCGCGCUGAGGAGCCCGUCGCGGUCGGCGGCGUCGCGCUCGAGCCGGUCGGCGCGGGCCCGGAGCGCGGCGGCCUGGGCCUCGGCGUCGGCGAGGCGCGCGCGGAGGUUGGCGGCCUCGUCGCUGGCGGCCGCGGCGCGGGCCAGCAGGCGGCGCUCGGCCUCGGCCCAGGACGCGCGGUGGCCCGCGAAGAUCUCGGCGGCGCGCGCGUUGGCCCGGGCGUCCUCGCGCCGGCGCGCCCGCAGCUGCCGCAGCUGGUCCUCGGCGGCGAGGAGGCGCGUCGCCAGGACCCGGCCCCGCGACUGCAACGACGCGACGUGGCGCGCGCCGGCGGCGCCGCCCGGGAGCGAGGCGAGGAAGAGCGCGAAGGCGAGGCCCAGGUAGGCCGCCAGGGCCUCGGCGCCGGCGGCUGUGUCCUGCGGCGGUGGAGGGGGCUUGGCCGGCGGCGCGUCGUCGGCCGCCAUUGUUUAGGGGGAGCGCGUGGACUGGCGGAGAGCGACGGGUCGGAGAGGAGUGGCGAUGGCGACUCACUGUGUGGGUGGAAGGAGAUAGAUUUGGGUGACGGAAAUGCCCCUGUCCAUCUGUGUGAUUGUGUGUGUGGGCCCGCACGUGAUUCGGUGGAAAGUCGUGAUGAUGAUUGA
rnacentral:rRNA from 1 species